rnacentral:rRNA from 1 species
AUGAAGAACGUAGCGAAAUGCGAUAUAUGGUGUGAAUUGCAGAAUCCCGUGAACCAUCGAGUCUUUGAACGCAAGUUGCGCCUGAGGUCGUGAGGCCGAGGGCACGCC